AGGUGUUCACAGACGUGCCUCAAAACAGGAGUUUUCGUGUGGAAUGAUUUCUGCUUGGACACAACAGAAUGUUGAUUGCUGCACUGGCUCCUCAGUUGUUACAGAGCCCAUGCCAUCACCACCAUGUGUAGCUCCUUCAGCUCCCAACAUUAGGAACCUAUUUCCACAGAGCUUGUUUUCGGGAGCAGUUGUACGUCUGCCCAAGCAGCAAGUGCCCUUCCGCAGUGGAACUUCCCACGUGCCGUUUUUGUACAUCUUUUGUACACAGCCUCUGUUCUACUCCUCAUGACCACUAGAGGGCAUCUCGGUUCCAGGUUUGAACAAAAGCUCACCUUUCUCUGUAUGAAAUGUAAACAGUACAUGGGCAGUUUAGGGUUUAUUUUUCCCAACUUGUAUAUUUAAUAUAUUGUAUUUGCAAUCCCUGUGUGGUUAGCCAUUUGGAAUGCUUUGGGUAUGGGUUUUAUGAACUCGGUUGUUCGCAAGUAAAGAAAUUAAAUAAAAAAGCUCUUAGUCUUUGCUGGAAAACCAGCAAGCAGGAUUUGAGCACAAGAGCACUCUUUCUUCUCUGGUUUCCCAGAAACUGGUAUUCAGAAGCAACACUGCUUCCAGAUGUGUGGCAGAAUAUAGCCAUCAUGGCUAGUAGCCACUGAUAACCCUCUCUUCCAUGAAUUUGUUUAAGCUUCUUUUAAACCACCCACGUUGUUGGCCAUUGCUGCCUCCUGUGGCAGUGAGUUCCAUAGUUUAACUGGGCUACACAGAGAAAUACUUUCUUUCAUCUGUUCUGAAUCUUCCAACAUUCAGCUUCAUUGGAUAGCCACCAGUUGUAGAGUUGAGAGAGGGGAACAAAACGUUUUUAUCAACACCCUUGUCUAUGCAAUGCCUUUUAGUGGUUAAAAUUAUUAUUAUUAUUAUUAUUAUUAUUAUUAUUAUUAUUAAUACCUAGCCCAUCUGGCUGAGUUUCCCCACCUCACUUCUCGCAAUGAGGGAACCGCCAGAAGGCCCUCGGUGCUGAAUUAUAGUGUUAUUAUGUCACCAUUAAAGAAACUGCAUCAAGUUAUCAUCGCAUAGUGUAAAUAUAAAUCUAUAGAUGCCUGAAUUUUAGCGACAUGCAAACAUUACAGCUCUUAUAUUUACAGUAUAUGAAUUCAUGUUUUUAAAAGUUACCCUUCCUUCUCUUUUUGCUUCGAGCAGAGGGCGCUGUGAUUCCACGAAAGCCUCUUCCAUGCUCGGUGUUUGAGAAGCAAAUCAGGCCACCUCCGGCAGGAAACGUGGUUUCCUCGUGAUCUGGGGCCUCCUGGGCUGCCUAUUCAGUGUGCUGGUGUUGCCUUGACACGUAGCCAGCAUGUGCUUGAGCAACUCCGAUCCCUUAGCGCGCAUAAUAAAUUCAAAGGCACUGGCUCUGCAGUGAAUCAGAUGGCGACAUAGGAGGAAUGGAUAUAACAGGGGCAUUUUGUCUCAGCUUCAACCUCCUUAAUCAGAAUGUUACUUAUAACGGUGAUGCCUUUGCAACAGGUGACUCUAGAAAAAGGGGAACACAACCACACACACAAUACAAUUUGCCGCAUUACUGGAGUAAUUUCUCAAGGGAGUUUUCCCAAGCGGCACUCAAAACUCCUUUAACCUUCUGCAUGGAGUGUCUAGUGCUGCAAUCCUAACCUCACUCAGCUGGGAAUAAGUAAUAAUUCAAUGUAAUUCAAUAGGACUUUCUUCUGAGUCGACAUGGUUAGGCUUGCUUUGUUAUUCACCCUGCCCUCUCCAUCUUGGAACUGAGUCUGCAAGCUAACCUCAUGGCUACUCUUUAUUUUGUGUAACAUCUUGCCUGUUGAAGCAUUCUGGGUAACUCAAAAGCUUGCCCUUAUUUUGUGACAUUUUGCUUAGUUGCAACUGCUAAACAACAACGACAAACUGCUAUAAACCGACACAGCUACUUUUGUUUUUCAUGUUACUUGCUUGUCCGUGUGACUUAAUCACUAUAAUGCAAUUUUAUAUGUUGAUCAAGUACUACUCUAUUUCAACCACAGUUUAGUUUUUGGAUCAUCUGUAAACAGAGUGCUUUCUACCUGAAGCUCAUUAGGUAUCUGGCUCCAUCCUGUUAUUACUAUGCAGCUGUAUACUUUCCAAAUUAAGCCAAUGUAGGAGCAAUCUGCUUACAGAACUAGCUGGGAGUGUGACAACCUUUUCAGUGAGAGAAGCCUCACUUAAGAACAGUGG